rnacentral:ncRNA from 1 species
AAAGCGAGUAGAAGCGUUCAGCCAUUCUUUACCGAUGGCGGGUCAUUGCUCAUGGG